AACGAACGCUGGCGGCUUGCCUAACACAUGCAAGUCGAACGAGACCUUCGGGUCUAGUGGCGCACGGGUGCGUAACGCGUGGGAACCUGCCCUUAGGUUCGGAAUAACUCCCCGAAAGGGGUGCUAAUACCGGAUAAUGUCUUCGGACCAAAGAUUUAUCGCCUUUGGAUGGGCCCGCGUUGGAUUAGCUAGUUGGUAGGGUAAAAGCCUACCAAGGCGACGAUCCAUAGCUGGUCUGAGAGGAUGAUCAGCCACACUGGGACUGAGACACGGCCCAGAAUCCUACGGGAGGGAGCAGUGGGGAAUAUUGGAACAUGGGCGAAAGCCUGAUCCAGCAAUGCCGGGUGAGUGAUGAAGGCCUUAGGGUUGUAAAGCUCUUUUAACCGGGAUGAUAAUGACAGUACCGGGAGAAUAAGCUCCGGCUAACUCCGUG
rnacentral:rRNA from 1 species